GGGAGGCAGCAGCGGGAAAUUGCGCAAUGAGCGAAAGCUUGACGCAGCGACACCGCGUGUGGGAUGACGGAUCUAGGUUUGUAAACCACUUUCAGGAGAAGAAAAUGACGGUACCUCCACAAGAAGCCCCGGCCAACUACGUGCCAGCAGCCGCGGUAAU
rnacentral:rRNA from 1 species